rnacentral:rRNA from 1 species
UACGUAGGCAGCAAGCGUUGUUCGGAGUUACUGGGCGUAAAGAGUGCGUAGGCGGUCCUGUAAGUUUGGUGUGAAAUCUCCCGGCUCAACUGGGAGGGUGCGCCGAAGACUGCAGGGCUUGAGUAUGGGAGAGGUAAGCGGAAUUCCUGGUGUAGCGGUGAAAUGCGUAGAUAUCAGGAAGAACACCCGUGGCGAAGGCGGCUCUCUGGGACGGUACUGACGCUGAGGCGCGAAAGCGUGGGGAGCAAACAGG